rnacentral:tRNA from 1 species
CAAAGAAUAGUUUAAAAAAAAUUAUAAUUUUGGAGAUUAUAGAUAAAGAGUUUCUUUUUCUUUGA